rnacentral:rRNA from 1 species
UGAUUAUAGCUCUAAAAUGUGUACAUAUCGCCCGUCACUCUUAUUAUAAAAUAAGAUAAGUCGUAACAUAGUAGAUGUACUGGAAAGUGUAUCUAGAAUGACAAAUUAGAGCUUGUUUAGAGAAUUAGUAUUGUAAAAGAAAUUUUAAAUAAAUUUAUUUUAUUUAUAAGUAAAAUUUUUUUUUUGUACCUUGUGUAUCAGGGUUUAUUAAAUAAUUAUUAUAAAUAUUAAUUUUCCCGAAUUUAAAAGAGAGAAUAAAUAAWUUUUAUUAUUGUAAAAAAAAUAUUUAAAAUUAUUUAUUAGAAAUGAAAAGUUAUUCGUUUUUAAAUAUAUCUGGUUUAUAAAGAAAUAAAUUAAAUUUAAUUAAUUUUAUUUUAUUGAUUUAUUUUUUUAAGUUAGUAAAUUUUAUUAAUAAUAAUUAAAGGGAUAAGCUUUUAAUUAAAAUUUUAUAAUUUUUAAUAUUAAUAAAAAUAUAUAGGUUUAGAAAUAUCCAUUAUUUUUAAUUUGUUGUAAUUAAUUUUUUAAUAAUUAAUAUUUAAUAAAAAUUUAAAAUUUAUAUUUAUAAUUAAUAUUUAAUUAAUUAAUAUUAGGUAUAAUGAUAAAAUUAGUAUAUAAAAUUAUUUAAAUAUAAUUAAUUUUUUGGUUAUAAAAAGGAAUUCGGCAAAAAUUUUAUUCGCCUGUUUAAUAAAAACAUGUCCUUUAGAUAAAAAUUAUUUAAGGUCUAACCUGCCCAUUGAUUAAUUAAAAGGCCGCAGUAAUUUGACUGUGCAAAGGUAGCAUAAUCAUUAGUUUUUUAAUUAAAAGCUUGUAUGAAUGGUUGGACGAGAUAAAAUCUGUCUCUUUAUAAAAAAUAGAAUUUAAUUUUUAAGUUAAAAAGCUUAAAUAAAUAUAAAAGACGAGAAGACCCUAUAGAUCUUUAUAUAAUUUUUUUUAAUAUUAAUAAAGAAGAUUUAAUUUAUUAAAUAAUUUUAUAUUUUAUUGGGGUAAUAAAAAGAUUAAUUUAAUUCUUUUUUAUUAAACAAUAAUUAUUGGUUAUAUGAUCCAUUAUUAAUGAUUAUAAGAUUAAGUUACCUUAGGGAUAACAGCGUAAUUUUUUUAGAGAGUUCUUAUCAAUAAAAAAGUUUGCGACCUCGAUGUUGGAUUAAAAGUAAUUCUAGGUGCAGAAGUUUAGAGUUUUGGUCUGUUCGACCAUUAAAUUUUUACAUGAUCUGAGUUUAGACCGGCGUAAGCCAGGUUGGUUUCUAUCUUUAUUUAUUUAAUAUAUUUUAGUACGAAAGGACCAAUUAUAUAAUAUAUUUAUAUUUAUUUUUUGAAUAAAAUUAUUACUUUGGCAGAUUAGUGUAAUGAAUUUAGAAUUCAAUAAU